rnacentral:rRNA from 1 species
GUGGGGAAUAUUGGACAAUGGGCGAAAGCCUGAUCCAGCCAUGCCGCGUGUGUGAAGAAGGUCUUCGGAUUGUAAAGCACUUUAAGUUGGGAGGAAGGGCAGUAAGUUAAUACCUUGCUGUUUUGACGUUACCGACAGAAUAAGCACCGGCUAACUUCGUGCCAGCAGCCGCGGUAAUACGAAGGGUGCAAGCGUUAAUCGGAAUUACUGGGCGUAAAGCGCGCGUAGGUGGUUUUGGAAGUUGGAGGUGAAAUCACCGGGCUCAACCUGGGAACUGCCUCCAAAACUGCAUGACUAGAGUACGGUAGAGGGUAGUGGAAUUUCCUGUGUAGCGGUGAAAUGCGUAGAUAUAGGAAGGAACACCAGUGGCGAAGGCGACUACCUGGACUGAUACUGACACUGAGGUGCGAAAGCGUGGGGAGCAAACAGGAUUAGAUACCCGUGUAGUCC